AUGCACAAAGUGGACACUUGGUUAAAGAAAAAGACUUUCCCCAGGUAGAGGAAGACCAAUCGUUGGUCAAGGAUAUAUGAGUAAUUGUGCUCCCCUGCUAGAACCUCCAAACAAACUCCCAGGAACACUGAUACAGAACUAAU
rnacentral:sRNA from 1 species